GCGCCCGGGUGCCUAGCGCGUAUGCAACCUACCUUCGACUGGGGAAUAGCCCCUCGAAAGAGGGAUUAAUACCCCAUAGGAAUUAGAUAAGGCAUCUUAUUUAGUUUAAAGUGCCGGCGGUUGAAGAUGGGCAUGCGUGACAUUAGCUAGUUGGUGAGGUAAUGGCUCACCAAGGCUACGAUGUCUAGGGGUUCUGAGAGGAUGAUCCCCCACACUGGUACUGAGACACGGACCAGACUCAUACGGGAGGCAGCAGUAAGGAAUAUUGGUCAAUGGACGCAAGUCUGAACCAGCCAUACCGCGUGAAGGAUGACGGCCCUAUGGGUUGUAAACUUCUUUUGUACGGGAAUAAACCCUUCUACGUGUAGAAGGCUGAAUGUACCGUAAGAAUAAGGAUCGGCUAACUCCGUGCCAGCAGCCGCGGUAAUACGGAGGAUCCAAGCGUUAUCCGGAUUCAUUGGGUUUAAAGGGUGCGUAGGCGGAUUUGUAAGUCAGUGGUGAAAGCCUGCAGCUCAACUGCAGAACUGCCAUUGAUACUGCAAGUCUUGAGUACACUUGACGUGGGCGGAAUGUGUCAUGUAGCGGUGAAAUGCUUAGAUAUGACACAGAACACCGAUUGCGAAGGCAGCUCACGAAAUUGUAACUGACGCUGAGGCACGACAGCGUGGGGAUCAAACAGGAUUAGAUACCCUGGUAGUCCACGCCGUAAACUAUGAAUACUCGAUGUUGGCGAUAUACUGUCAGCGUCUAUGCUAAAGCAUUAAGUAUUCCCCCUGGGGAGUAC
rnacentral:rRNA from 1 species